rnacentral:rRNA from 1 species
GGCGGNAGGCCUCAAACAUGCAAGUCUAGGGGGCGUANCAAUACGUCACCGGCGGACGGGUGCGUAACACGUGGGAAUAUACCUUUCGGUACGGAACAACUGAGGGAAACUUCAGCUAAUACCGUAUACGUCCUAACGGAGAAAGAUUUAUCGCCGAAGGAUUAGCCCACGUUCGAUUAGCUAGUUGGUGAGGUAAUGGCUCACCAAGGCAACGAUCGAUAGCUGUUCUGAGAGGAAGAUCAGCCACACUGGGACUGAGACACGGCCCAGACUCCUACGGGAGGCAGCAGUUGGGAAUCUUGGACAAUGGGGGAAACCCUGAUCCAGCCAUGCCGCGUGAGUGAUGAAGGCCUUCGGGUUGUAAAGCUCUUUUACCCGGGAAGAUAAUGACUGUACCGGGAGAAUAAGCUCCGGCUAACUUCGUGCCANCAGCCGCGGUAAUACGAAAGGGGCUAGCGUUGUUCGGAAUUACUGGGCGUAAAGCGCGCGCAGGCGGUU